rnacentral:misc_RNA from 1 species
GAUGAAGAACGUAGCGAAAUGCGAUAGCUAGUGUGAAUUGCAGAUUUCCGUGAAUCAUCGAAUCUUUGAACGCACAUUGCGCCCUCUGGUAUUCCGGGGGGCAUGCCUGUCCGAGCGUCAUUUGCAACCCUCAAGCCCGGCUUGUGUGAUGGGUGCCGUCCCCUACGGGACGCGCCCCGAAGGCAAUGGCGGCGUCGCGGUUAUCCGAUCAGCCAAAGUGUAUGGGGCUUUGUCACUCACUUUACGGCCCGGACCGGCGCCAGUCCGAAUCAAUCUUUUUUCUAAAGUUGACCUCGGAUCAGGUAGGGAUACCCGCUGAACUUAAGCAUAUCAAUAAGCGGAGGA